rnacentral:rRNA from 1 species
UGAAAUCUCACGGCUUAACUGUGAGCGUGCGGGCGAUACGGGCAGACUUGAGUACUGCAGGGGAGACUGGAAUUCCUGGUGUAGCGGUGGAAUGCGCAGAUAUCAAGAGGAACACCGGUGGCGAAGGCGGGUCUCUGGGCAGUAACUGACGCUGAGGAGCGAAAGCGUGGGGAGCGAACAGGAUUAGAUACCCUGGUAGUCCACGCCGUAAACGGUGGGUACUAGGUGUGGGUUACCUUCCUUGGGAUCCGUGCCGUAGCUAACGCAUUAAGUACCCCGCCUGGGGAGUACGGCCGCAAGGCUAAAACUCAAAGAAAUUGACGGGGGCCGCACACGAGCGGCGGAGCAUGUGGAUUAAUUCGAUGCAACGCGAAGAACCUUACCUGGGUUUGACAUGCACAGGACGCCGGCAGAGAUGUCGGUUCCAUUGUGGCCUGUGUGCAGGUGGUGCAUGGCUGUCGUCAGCUCGUGUCGUGAGAUGUUGGGUUAAGUCCCGCAACGAGCGCAACCCUUGUCUCAUGUUGCCAGCGGGUAAUGCCGGGGACUCGUGAGAGACUGCCGGGGUCAACUCGGAGGAAGGUGGGGAUGACGUCAAGUCAUCAUGCCCCUUAUGUCCAGGGCUUCACACAUGCUACAAUGGCCGGUACAAAGGGCUGCGAUGCCGCGAGGUUAAGCGAAUCCUUUUAAAGCCGGUCUCAGUUCGGAUCGGGGUCUGCAACUCGACCCCGUGAAGUCGGAGUCGCUAGUAAUCGCAGAUCA